rnacentral:lncRNA from 1 species
GGAACUAUUUCAGGCAUGUGCCAAGCCCCGAGCAGGCCCGGCUGGGAGGGCGACACACGGAGCGACAGGCUUUGGCCCCGGGGGAGUAGGGAGUGGCCUCGGGUGGCCCGCCCGUUCCUCUGUGGAGACCCAGCUCUGUGGGCUGCUGCCCUUCUACCCACUGCAUCUUGCCAGGCCCUUCCCCUUACUCAGGAUUCUGGAAUCACCUAAGAUCCUCCCAGACUUAGUGGGAGAUCAGCCGCGAGUGGGCUGGCACUUGGACCCACUUCUCCUUUCUUCAGACCUUUCUUCUUUCACCUGGAGCAGGUAGGCCUUGGGGGUCCGAGGCAGCCACCGAGAUUCCAAGGUCACAGAGCCCAGAGGACAAACAUACACGGCAUCUGGCCCCGGCGCCCAAGCAGGCUUGCCCCUGCCAGGCACUGUGCCAAGUACUGGACUUGUACUGACUCACUUAAUCCUCACAGAUGCCUUCCGAGGCUGGGGCCCUGAUGAUCCCACCUUACAGAUUUGGAACCUGAGGCCCCAGAAGCGAGAGGACUGGCCCAAGAAGUCUGUUGGCUCGGAGCCUCACCCCAGAUCUCUCCGCGCCCCACACCAGCUCUGGUCACUCAGAAUCAGGGGGCUCCCAUCAGGGGCUUCCACGUGGCACCCAGGACGGAGGGUUUCUCUGUGCCCCAAAGGGUAGGCAGGAAAGGCCAGGCCUCCAGCUGUCCCCCACUUCCCUCUUUCCAACACCCUGGACUCCUGCUUUUCCCCCUCGGUGGCCCCCUCCAGCCACUGCUUUGACAGCCAGGAGUGUUCAACGGCAGGAAGUCAGAGGCUCCGUUUCUGGUAGCCUGUGCCCCCCUGGGCUCAAGGCCACUCAAGGGGCAGCUCGAUAGGAUGCCCUCACCUCCAUCUUUGGAUGCAGAGGGCUCAUGCUGUGCCGCCUGUGGGAGUGGACUGGGGAGCCCCACAGGGGUACCCCCCGCUCUUGCUGUAACCCCCUCCCCUCCUUGGGGCCCUCCCCAGCACUCCAUCUGUCGGCCUCCCUCCUGCUCUUAUCUUUCCCUAGCCUUCCCCGCCCCAUCUCUGUUUUUGUGUCUUCUUGCUCUUCCUGGUUACUCUCCCUCUUUGUCUCUCUCCCCCGGUCCCUCCCCACCCUCUUCUCUUUCUCCUCUGUCUCUUUGUGUGCGCAUCUCUGUGUCUCUCUGUGUGUCUCUCUCUGUCUCCUUCCCUAUCUCCCAGCCGUCUCUCCCUCUCUCGCCCCUCCUAGCUUCCUUCCUGUCUCCGGGCUCAUCUUGCUGCAUCCUGCAGCUCCCCCCACUGAGCCUCAAGGAAAAUGCUCUAUGUUGUCACAGCUCCACCUGGCGCGCAUGGUUCCUGGCACUUGGGACACAAACUACCUGUGAAGCUGAGCGAUGGGCGCUCAGGAGCCACCCCGGGCUGGGGGCAGGCAGGAAAUGCUCCUGA